AUCCAGCUGGCGAGUCCCAAAUAGGACGAAGUGACGCGCAUCAAACUGGAU
rfam:Schistosoma mansoni strain Puerto Rico chromosome 6, complete genome